GGAGACUCUGGAAGCUCCCUGAGCUUGCGGCAUGGUCUGGGAGCUUGUUACAUCUGAUCUGUGAUGGAGCAGCACUGGGGACACCGAUAGCGGCUCACGGAGGAAACCACAUGGCUGUCUCAUCCCUGCUGGGAUGGAAACAGAGAUCCUCCAGCUCCAGGCGACUCUGCUCCUUCCUCAUCAGAGGAUGUGCAAGGACCACGCUUCCUUCCCUCCCCCCAAGCCCUCCUCCUCAACCUCUGUUUCUGUUGGAACAACAUCAUUCACAACAGCCAGAAAAUGUAAAGGAUAAAAUAAAAGAAUGCCUCCAGCAUCACCAAGGAGGAACACCUGAACCAGUGCUCGGUCUACCAAGUGCCGCAUGACUCUGAAGGCAGAGCUGUUGGUGGACAGUGAGACCCACCCAGAUGCUCGUGAGCUGGGUGUAUGAGAGACGCUGUGUGAUGCAGAGUUAGCACCAAGAGUGGAAUGAUUCCAGUGGACAUUCAUUACCUGGUCUGUGGCUUGAAAGAAACAUGCUCCCCUUUCCUGUUUUGCUUUCAGAACCUUGGUAUAUUUCAUUUUCUGGCCCCAACCUGACCACAUAACAGCACUUUUGACUUGAAACUGCUUUCCAGGAGAACUUCUUUAGCAAUCCUGAGACAGGUUGGGACCUGAGACCCUUUGCUUACACCUGGACACACCUCUCCGCCAGCAACAAAAUGCAAAGAAACUGUAUGGGACUGAAAAUAACUGUGCAUGCACACUUGGGGCUAAUUCUGGACCCAAAAGAUACAAAGAGACAGUGAAAAGAAAACUCAACUGCCACUUCUGAGGAGCCUGGAUCAAAAACAAGGUGUCAAAAGCAAAAGCAGAGUGCUAUGCAUGCCCUCAGCACACAAUACCACCAGAGGGGUGGGCAAACCACUGACGCUGUCCCUCCAGCCACCUCUGACACACCCCUACCCUCAUCCCAAAUAAGGAAUCAACUUGCCCCACCUCUGGGAGUGAGCAAAGAGCCUGUUAACUUCUCGCUCCCCUCUCCCCACCCUGGCUGCAGCAGGGCCCCCAAUAAAGCCUUGCCUGAAUUUCCUGUCUAGCUUCUU
rnacentral:lncRNA from 1 species